rnacentral:rRNA from 3 species
UUAACCUUCGGGGGGACGCUUACCACUUUGUGGUUCAUGACUGGGGUGAAGUCGUAACAAGGUAGCGCUAGGGGAACCUGGCGCUGGAUCACCUCCUUA